UCAUAAUGCAAACUGUAACCCUAACCCUCACCUUCAUCCUCACCUUCACCCUAACCCUAACCAUCACCCUGAACUUCAACCUCACCUCAAUCCAAAUUCUAAUCUUAACUCUAAUCCUCACCCUCGCCCUAACCCUAACUCUAACCCCUAACCCCCAACCCUAACCGUAUCUCUAACCCUCACUUUAUUUACAGCAAUCUGUGCUCUAACACAAAAUGACAUCAAAAAAAUUGUAGUGUUGACUACCCUCACCCUAAACCCUGGAACCUACUUGUGGCCAUUGGCCAACUGAACCUUGGGCUCUGAGCCCUGGGGCAGGCAAGGGAAUCUGGAUGACUCCAGCCUGCUGGAGAGAGGCAGCCAAGAGAAGCAUGUUGUUAGGAACAUAAUCAAAUUAAAUUAAUGGGCUGACUGGCCCCAGCAGCUCCAUCUAACAACACAGAAAAAACAACAAUAAGAAAUGGAUCAUUUCUCCUGGUUUGAAUGCUGGAAAACUUGCAGUCACUGAAGAGAUUUCAAAUGAAAUUCCCUACACUAUUCUGGGAAAUAACUGUUCUCUGCACUCAGCCUGGUGGCUACAAGGAAAAAGAUAGUUGAGUGUGUUCCUGGUCAUCAGAAGAGUGGAGUCUUUUCCAUGCCGUUCAUCAGUCCAGGAACCCAGACUGACAUGGAUUCCUCUAUCUUCAGCUCCCGGUUUCCAGCGUCACCCAGGAAACCACAUGCAGCCUUUAGGAUGGAAUGUGGAGCCCCCUGCAUGGAGGUUUUCAUGGCGCAGGCCUGGGAGAAGCACAGACCACUCUGCAGUAGUCCAUUCCCAAGAACCGGUGCACAUGUUGGAGGCGAGGUGAAAGGCAGCUGAGAAAUGUGCAGGGCUCAGUGUCCCGGGGGCAGCCACCUCCGCAGGACAGGUGUGGGAGGGGGAGUGCGUCAUUGCCUCCAACUGGGUUCUCUUCUCCACCACAUGGCACAGAGUGGGCACUCAGCACAUUGCUUAAUGAAUGAAACCCACUUCAUUUCAGUGUCGUGACCCUGAGAGAGUUUCUUAAAUAUUUUCACAUGCUGAAGCAACUGCAAUUCUGGGGUCAUUUGUGGAAUACUAUAUUUAUUGAUG
rnacentral:lncRNA from 1 species